rnacentral:misc_RNA from 1 species
CCCACACACCCACACUCCGUGACACGUGACCGCCGCCUCCGCCCCUUCUACCCUUCGUGCCACCGCCACCCAGCGUCACCGUAGUUCCGGCAUCUGUCUUUGGUAGCCAAGAGGUUUAUCGGUGCACCAUGAGCACGCCCAGGGACGAUGCGGCGGGCGUGGGAUGCUUGCUGCCUCCGCACGGGCCAGCCAACAUGAUGUCGACGUACAUGACUCGCUACGACUACGACUACAACCGCGAUCCCCGUCUGGCAGGCAGCGACGGCGGCAGUGGGCGCGGCUUCAAGCAGGAAAUAAGCGGCGAAGUGCGCAACCGCCCCAUCUUUGCCUACGGUGUUGACACAGGCGACCGCGACGACCGCACUAUCUACCAAGUAGACUACACAAACAAGGACCGCUCCGUGAAGAAUAUGGCCUGGCUGGCCGCCACGCUGACAGAUUCAGCCGCUUCUGCAGCUGCGGCAAGGAUUAGAGGCCAGGAUAACGGCACGGCGUACCAGCACAACUGGUAUCUCCCCGCUGUCUCCGCUCACAUUGUCUUGGCGGACGGUAGCCAUCCGCAUACAGUGUACCAGGAUGACUACCAGGCACCCCGGCACGUCGCUGAUGGCGCCGUGCAUGAUCCGGUGUGCUACGCGGGAGCCGCCACUGCCGCCUACAAUGCGGAUCUGCUCAAGCCGCACGGCGUGAUGGAGGACGACGGCGCCGACCUCGCGCCGAAGAUCACAUCAAAGGAUUCGCUGCUGCCACGGAAACACGCGAGCUCCAACGCUACGUGGACGCCAGUCUUCGAGAACACCGCUGACCACCGCCACACGUGGAAUGAUUGCGUGCCUGGGGACGGUGUGAUGGGCACAUACACGUGCACCUCCUGGGAUUACGGCGACACGAGUCAGGCUCACCCCUCGCAGCUGCCGCUGAGCCUGGCGCGCAGUCUUGCAGCCCACAACCUGGACGCCUCCGCGAACCCGGACAAGGCAGCGCUGCUGCGCCGUCUCGCCGGAAGGCACUACUCCUCUAGGACGCUGCGCGGAUCAUCGAGCGGUGCUCCGCUGGACACGAACGACCGCACGAACCCGCAGUUUCUGUCAACGGCGGAGCAGAAGCGGUGCGCGGUGAGCCGGCGCCUUGAGAAGGAGCACUACGUCACCAUGUCCAUCUACAAGAGCGACUUCAUUGAUCAGGGGCUGCUGCCAGAGCUGCCCGGAAACCCUGGCGGGCCGGCGGACGCUCGCGACACUCACACCAGCCCCGUGGCCACUGCGGGGGAGAUGAUGGCCGGCCAGCUAACAAACGCGACGCGCGAGCUGGGCUUGCUGCGCAACGCGCACGGCACCCUCAAGUCCAGCGAGGCGCACGCUGCGUCGCGGGUGAGCACCGGCGUUUUGUCAGCGAUGCGCGCGAUGGAGAAGGCGGCCUCGAUCGACAAGGCCGACCCGCACUGCCACAAGCUCCGUGAGUAGUUGCAGCCUUUCUUCCCUUCAACCUUCGCCUUCUCUGUCUCGCACCACCGCCGUGGUCCGUCCAUCUCUGCCCUGGCGAUGCGCACACGGACGCUCGGAUGUGUAUGCGCGUGGGUAGGCAAUGUGCUUGCCGUUGUUGCCGUCCGCCUAGCGUCUUUCGCCUUCAUGCCGCGUUUGCCUGCGUGUUGUUUGUAGUGUGUUGUGGGCAACUUCCCUGCCGUUCUAACGCCCUUUUCUGCCGGCCCUGGUUGUAAUGUACACUGUCGCUUCUCUUCUUUUCGUGUGCUUUCACGUUUUUUUUUCACCCGUUUCCAUGUAAAUUACAAGCAAGCGAAGGCACGCAUACGCACCAGCUCACGGCAGGGAACGAAAAGCUACACUCACGCACACCGAUCGGUCCUCCUCGAUAUCCGGUGUGUGUGUCGAGGGGGGGGGUGGAGGAGGCGUCAUGCGCAUUCCUGUUGCCGUGUCCGUCUUGUUUUUCUCGCGCCCCUUCCCGCUUGUGCAUUUUAUGCCCUUUUUCCAUGUUCCUUGGCUGUGCGGCAUCGACGUUUUUUUUUUGGUUUCUUGCUGCAUGUGAUUUGUAUCUUCUUGCCAGCGUCCGCGUGUGCGUGUCUCUAUCUGUGCUUGUGCGCUCAAAGCCUCUGUCGCGCCUCCGCGCGCGUGCCGGGCGCCUCACGGAGCUCUCUGCCCCGUCCCCUUCUUUUUUUUUUUUCGACAGCAGCCACCUGGAUGUUCAACAGGAAGGAGACGGCACUUGUUUGAUGGCUUCCCUUCAUCUUGUGGUGCUCAUGUAGUGUGUGGCGGCACUGCACAUGCGGAGGUGGUGGGGCGGCAGACGAUGCACGCAAAAUAUGCGUGCGCGCGACACAGAGCGGGAGCAUGCGGAGAAGAGUGAUCGCGUCCAGCUCGCACGUGCAGACACGCACGCGGGCGCUCUUCACGCUUCAUGCGAACAUUUUUUUGCUUGUUGCGAUUUGCUGCGUUGAUCCCCGCCAGCAGCGUUGCUUUUGUUGUUCUUCCUUUAGUCAUGAGUGCAUUGCCCCCCCCCCCCACUCCUGCAGGCGGGCGGGCGGGCGGGGAUGCACGGUGACGGCCAAAGAAUGAAGUAAAAAAGCGAUGGCUGGGAGCUGCUGCGUCCGUGGCACUGCGCAGCGAUGCAGCGAACAGGAACCGAAAGGCAGUGCUGCUGGAGGGCACGCGCGCAAUGCUGCGUUUUCCAACUCCUUGCGCUUGUGCAGGCCACGCUCGCACAUCCGGUGAUGCACACAACAGCUUACAUUCUUGCUCUGGCCCUCCCAUUCCCCCCCCCCCCCCCUUACGCACCGCGCACACAUCAUCCACCUCUCUCGCUCUCUCACUCUGUGUGUGCGUGCGUGCCCCUCCUUCUCUUCCCACGUUCAUAUCCUCAUUGCGCCAUCUGCCACGCAG